GACGUAGGAUGCGAGCGUUAUUCGGAUUUAUUGGGCGUAAAGCGUGCGUAGGCGGCUGUUUAAGUCUGGUGUUAAAGCUAGGGGCUCAACCCCUGUGGUGCAUCGGAUACUGGGCAGCUUGAGUGCGGUAGGGGAAGGUGGAAUUCCGAGUGUAGCGGUGAAAUGCGUAGAUAUCUGGAGGAACACCGGUGGCGAAGGCGGUAUCCUGGACCGGCAUUGACGCUGAGGCGCGAAAGCCAGGGGAGCAAACGGGAUAGAUACC
rnacentral:rRNA from 1 species